rnacentral:misc_RNA from 1 species
GGGACCUUCUAUCAAGGUCUGGGACCCUUAUAAUGUUCUCGCUCCACCACCCUCAAUUCCUCAUUUCCACCGAACAUUCUCCUCUGAUUCUGUCGAUGACGAUAGGACCCUCACUGACCUAUAUUUAAUUAGUAAUGGCGAAUGUCAUAUGAAUUUAAGACCUGAUUUGAUUGCCGGCCGAUCCCCAGAGGCUGCACUUACACCUAAUGGCAAGCGCCAAGCAAGAGCUUUGGCUGUUUUUCUAAAGUCUCAAGGGAUUCGUUUCAAUUCUGUCUAUACAUCUCCCUUGGAUCGGGCACGAGCUACUGCCCUCUCUGUUUGUCAGGAAAUAAACUUUUCGGAGGAACGGAUACAAUCCUCUGAUGGUCUACUGGAAAUGAGUCAGGGGCAUUGGGAGGGAUGCCACCGCUCGGAUAUUUUUACACCUGAAACAGCUAGCCUAAUGGAAAAGUUCCAGCCUGAUUUUUCAGCACCAUCUGGAGAGUCACUGAGGCAGGUGGAAUUUCGGAUGGUACAAUUCCUAAAUGGAACUGUUAUGACAUUGCCUGACAAAUUCAGAUCUGAUUUCUCUCCACCUGAUCAGGGCUUCUCAAACCGUGGUUCUCAUCCACUUGUCAAUUCAGUUCAUGACCGAGAUGGGCCACCCUCUUUCUCGUCAUCCCAUUGGGAUUUGCACCACAGGAAUCGACAAGGACUUUCGAGGAAGAAGUCUGGAAAGAGUAGGCUUCAGAUCGUGACAACAACUGGGGAUCAUGAGGCUGAUGACGAGAUGUCACCUCGAGAACCCAUUAAUCCUAACUCCAUCCGAGAUUUAAAUGUGCAAAACAGUAGUAAUGUUUCCCAAUGCAUUGGUAUUUUCACACAUUCAAUCCCAAUAAAGUGUCUUCUUACUGGCCUUCUUGGCUGCAGUUCAAUGAUGUCAAGUAAGAUAUGCAUAGAUGAUUCUUCGGUGACAGUGCUACAACAUUCCUGGAAAAUGGGAUGGCAGAUCAAGAGAAUGAACGAUACUGCACAUCUUAGGCUUCUC